GUAGUCUGCAACUCGACUACAUGAAGCUGGAAUCGCUAGUAAUCGCGAAUCAGAAUGUCGCGGUGAAUACGUUCCCGGGUCUUGUACACACCGCCCGUCACACCAUGGGAGUUGGGAAUGCCCGAAGCCGGUGACCUAACCGAAAGGGAGGAGCCGUCGAAGGCAGGCUUGAUAACUGGGGUGAAGUCGUAACAAGGUAUC
rnacentral:rRNA from 1 species